GGUAACUUGGUGUUUGAUUAGGAUAGUUAAGAAAUAGAGGACGGAGGCUGCUUGUCCGAUAGUGAUGUAUGGAUAUUCAACGGGUUGGCCGCCAAUUCAGGUUAGUGUUAGUAAGUCGGCUGCU